AGAGUUUGAUCAUGGCUCAGGAUGAACGCUGGCGGCGUGCCUAAUACAUGCAAGUCGAGCGAACGGACGAGAAGCUUGCUUCUCUGAUGUUAGCGGCGGACGGGUGAGUAACACGUGGAUAACCUACCUAUAAGACUGGGAUAACUUCGGGAAACCGGAGCUAAUACCGGAUAAUAUUUUGAACCGCAUGGUUCAAAAGUGAAAGACGGUCUUGCUGUCACUUAUAGAUGGAUCCGCGCUGCAUUAGCUAGUUGGUAAGGUAACGGCUUACCAAGGCAACGAUGCAUAGCCGACCUGAGAGGGUGAUCGGCCACACUGGAACUGAGACACGGUCCAGACUCCUAUGGGAGGCAGCAGUAGGGAAUCUUCCGCAAUGGGCGAAAGCCUGACGGAGCAACGCCGCGUGAGUGAUGAAGGUCUUCGGAUCGUAAAACUCUGUUAUUAGGGAAGAACAUAUGUGUAAGUAACUGUGCACAUCUUGACGGUACCUAAUCAGAAAGCCACGGCUAACUACGUGCCAGCAGCCGCGGUAAUACGUAGGUGGCAAGCGUUAUCCGGAAUUAUUGGGCGUAAAGCGCGCGUAGGCGGUUUUUUAAGUCUGAUGUGAAAGCCCACGGCUCAACCGUGGAGGGUCAUUGGAAACUGGAAAACUUGAGUGCAGAAGAGGAAAGUGGAAUUCCAUGUGUAGCGGUGAAAUGCGCAGAGAUAUGGAGGAACACCAGUGGCGAAGGCGACUUUCUGGUCUGUAACUGACGCUGAUGUGCGAAAGCGUGGGGAUCAAACAGGAUUAGAUACCCUGGUAGUCC
rnacentral:rRNA from 1 species